UUGCUUAGGGCCACAACUACAGACACCGGAAUCCAGUAACCACCUGCUUGGAAGGAUUGUAUUGGUUACCAAGGAAAGGAAAAUUGUCAGAAAUUUCAAUGUUUAUUGCGGAUCUCUAGAUUUUGAGGCUUCACUUUUAUUAGUGUAAAGUUCCUCCGAACCACACUUUAUAGAGACGAAAUGCCUGAGGAGCCAUGACCAUCAAGAUUGGUCUGCUUUGGAGUGUGAACAGCCCUAGGAUGAAAGGUUUUCUUUGUGAUUUUUGUGCAUGAAUAAAAAAGAAAUCAAGA